UACGAAGGGGGCUAGCGUUGCUCGGAAUUACUAGGCGUAAAGCGCACGUAGGCGGCUUCUUAAGUCGGUGGUGAAAUCCUGGAGCUCAACUCCAGAACUGCCUUCGAUACUGGGAAGCUCGAGUCCGGGAGAGGUGAGUGGAACUGCGAGUGUAGAGGUGAAAUUCGUAGAUAUUCGCAAGAACACCAGUGGCGAAGGCGGCUCACUGGCCCGGUACUGACGCUGAGGUGCGAAAGCGUGGGGAGCAAACAGG
rnacentral:rRNA from 1 species